GUAGGUGGCAAGCGUUGUCCGGAAUUAUUGGGCGUAAAGCGCGCGCAGGGCGGUCCUUUAAGUCUGAUGUGAAAGCCCACGGCUCAACCGUGGAGGGUCAUUGGAAACUGGGGGACUUGAGUACAGAAGAGGAAAGCGGAAUUCCAAGUGUAGCGGUGAAAUGCGUAGAGAUUUGGAGGAACACCAGUGGCGAAGGCGGCUUUCUGGUCUGUAACUGACGCUGAGGCGCGAAAGCGUGGGGAGCAAACAGGAUUAGACACCCUGGUAGUCCACGCCGUAAACGAUGAGUGCUAAGUGUUAGGGGGUUUCCGCCCCUUAGUGCUGCAGCUAACGCAUUAAGCACUCCGCCUGGGGAGUACGGCCGCAAGGCUG
rnacentral:rRNA from 1 species